UAAAAGGAAAAUAUUCUUUUCAAAGAAGCCUAGCUUGAGUGUGGAUAUUUUCCCCAUUGUAGAAUGAGAGCCUGUGAAAGUAAUCUACAAUUUUUCAUCUUUGUUCAGAGUAUUGUUUCCUUUUGGACAUCAUGACUCUUUGAGGGUGAAAACUCUUGCUUUCAAGUAAUAGUGAUUGGGAAAUGCUAUCUAAAUCCUGAGGACUUUUUACUGCAGAAAACCAAAAGAAAGAUCUUAGUUCCUUUGCUUUGGUGGAUAAAGAAUCAUAGAUGUGAAAAGAGAGUUAUUAAUCAGGCUGUUGUGAAAGAUCUGAUACCAGCUGUGGUCAAAGAGGAAGAGCAUUGUCUUGAAACUAUUUCUUUCUGGUCCAGGAAACUGACCGAGCAAAGCCCUGAGAACACGCUGUGGCACUUCAUAUUCAAUCCACAGUCCUAUAAAGAGAUGAAAAAUGAGCCUUGUCCAAGGCUCUUACCUCAGCACCCAGUGGCAAAAAUAAAAUGUGAGCUUGGGACCAGGUCUCUUUGAAGCUGAAUUUUUCUUUUUUUUUUUAAAACUCUGCAACAGGCCUCUGGUGGUUACAGGUAUUGAUCGUCAGAAAGUAAUCUGUUCAGGUUUGGGGGCAUGCCAGACUGAAUCCUGGAGUACAUUCCUUCCUCUCCAAGGACACAUUGAGCUUUUUGUAUUGUCCACACUGGCUCACUUGUCAGCUGCCUUCCUCCUUUUAUGUCACUACUGAUUUCCCUGUUUGUGGGGAGCAUAUAAUUAAAUCUCCUGGAUAAAUAAAUAAAUGAACAAAGAGAAAUUAAAAAAAAAU
rnacentral:lncRNA from 1 species